rnacentral:lncRNA from 1 species
GCCAGCUUGUCUGCUGCUCGGACUGGCAUAGCGGCCGCAAUUUUCUGGGACACCGAUUUCUCCAAGGCUGCUCUCGUCUUCUCUGUUAUCUCUCUAAUUGUCUCCUCAUCUGGUCUUUGCAGUUCAGGAUCAUCCACAUUCAUGACUUCUUUUGGCACAAGAUCCGUGUAUUUGCUGUAAAUAAUCUUGUCCUUUGAUUGUCCUUGUCGAGCAAUUGCGUCGUAUUUUAUUUUUCCUUCUGCAUCCACCUGAACAGCCAAAGCAUUGGACAUUUUUUUCUUUCGGCCCAUAUCCAAUGGAUAUUGAGCCACGUGAAUCUCUGGAAAAGCACCUCCAUCUCCAAAAUCCUCUAAUGUCCGUGGUAUCCAUCCUUUCCGAUAGCCGUACGGGGGAGGCUCCCUUCGCGACGAGACCAGAGCAGUCUGCCUGGAUCUCUGAGCCCUUGCUCUUUCUUCUAGCUCUAGCUGGUCUUGGGA